GUGCUAGUUUUGACAGCACAUAUGCUAAAAUUGGAAUAUAUAUAUAGAAAAUUCGCAUGGCCCAUCCACAAAGAUGACAUGCAAAUUUGUGGAGCAUUCCAUAUUUUU
rnacentral:snRNA from 1 species